AUUGAACGCUGGCGGAAUGCUUUACACAUGCAAGUCGAACGGUAACAGCAGAGCUUGCUCUGGCUGACGAGUGGCGGACGGGUGAGUAAUAUAUCGGAACGUGUCCAAUAAUGGGGGAUAACUAAUCGAAAGGUUGGCUAAUACCGCAUACGCCCUGAGGGGGAAAGCUGGGGAUCUUCGGACCUAGCGUUAAUGGAGCGGCCGAUACCUGAUUAGCUAGUUGGUGGGGUAAGAGCCUACCAAGGCGACGAUCUAUAGCUGGUCUGAGAGGACGACCAGCCACAUCGGGACUGAGACACGGCCCGGACUCCUACGGGAGGCAGCAGUGGGGAAUAUUGGACAAUGGGCGCAAGCCUGAUCCAGCAAUGCCGCGUGUGUGAAGAAGGCCCUAGGGUUGUAAAGCACUUUCAAUUGUGAAGAAGGGUAUUAGAUUAAUACUCUAGUAUCUUGACGUUAACUUUAGAAGAAGCACCGGCUAACUCUGUGCCAGCAGCCGCGGUAAUACAGAGGGUGCAAGCGUUAAUCGGAAUUACUGGGCGUAAAGCGCGCGUAGGCGGUUAUUUAAGUCAGAUGUGAAAUCCCAGGGCUCAACCUUGGAACUGCAUCUGAUACUGGGUAACUAGAGUUUGGGAGAGGGAAGUAGAAUUUCAGGUGUAGCGGUGAAAUGCAUAGAGAUCUGAAGGAAUACCAGUGGCGAAGGCGACUUCCUGGCCUAAAACUGACGCUGAGGUGCGAAAGCGUGGGUAGCAAACGGGAUUAGAUACCCCGGUAGUCCACGCCGUAAACGAUGUCAACUAGUUGUUGGACCCCUUGAGGGUUUAGUAACGCAGCUAACGCAUUAAGUUGACCGCCUGGGGAGUACGGUCGCAAGACUAAAACUCAAAGGAAUUGACGGGGGCCCGCACAAGCGGUGGAGCAUGUGGUUUAAUUCGAUGCAACGCGAAGAACCUUACCACCCCUUGACAUCCAGAGAAUUUUUCAGAGAUGAAUUAGUGCCUUCGGGAACUCUGUGACAGGUGCUGCACGGCUGUCGUCAGCUCGUGUCGUGAGAUGUUGGGUUAAGUCCCGCAACGAGCGCAACCCCUAUCCUUGGUUGCUAACAGGUUAUGCUGAGAACUCCAGGGAGACUGCCGGUGACAAACCGGAGGAAGGUGGGGACGACGUCAAGUCAUCAUGGCCCUUAUGGGAUGGGCUACACACGUGCUACAAUGGUCGGUACAGAGGGUCGCGAACUCGCGAGAGUAAGCUAAUCCCACAAAGCCGAUCGUAGUCCGGAUUGGAGUCUGCAACUCGACUCCAUGAAGUUGGAAUCGCCAGUAAUCGUAGAUCAGAAUGCUACGGUGAAUACGUUCCCGGGCCUUGUACACACCGCCCGUCACACCAUGGGAGUGGGCUGCAAAAGAAGUGGGUAGACUAACCUUCGGGAUGUCGCUCACCACUUUGUGGUUCAUGACUGGGGUG
rnacentral:rRNA from 1 species